rnacentral:rRNA from 1 species
GGCCUACCAUGGUUUUAACGGGUAACGGGGAAUUAGGGUUCGAUUCCGGAGAGGGAGCCUGAGAAACGGCUACCACAUCCAAGGAAGGCAGCAGGCGCGCAAAUUACCCACUUCCAGAACGGAGAGGUAGUGACGAAAAAUAACGAGACAGUCCUCUUCGAGGUCUGUCAUCGGAAUGGGUACAAUUUAAAUCCUUUAACGAGGAUCUAUUGGAGGGCAAGUCUGGUGCCAGCAGCCGCGGUAAUUCCAGCUCCAAUAGCGUAUAUUAAAGUUGUUGCAGUUAAAAAGCUCGUAGUUGAAUUUCGGGAUCAAUUUGUUGGUCGUGCCUCGGUACGUACUGGCAUUAUUGGUUUCUACCUUCUGAAGAACCUUGAUGUCAUUAAUUUGGUGUCUUGGGGAAUCAGGACUGUUACUUUGAAAAAAUUAGAGUGUUUAAAGCAGGCAUACGCUUGAAUACAUUAGCAUGGAAUAAUGAAAUAGGACGUUUGAUUCUAUUUUGUUGGUUUCUAGGAUCGACGUAAUGAUUAAUAGGGAUAGUUGGGGGCAUUAGUAUUCAAUUGUCAGAGGUGAAAUUCUUGGAUUUAUUGAAGACUAACUACUGCGAAAGCAUUUGCCAAGGAUGUUUUCAUUAAUCAAGAACGAAAGUUAGGGGAUCGAAGACGAUCAGAUACCGUCGUAGUCUUAACCAUAAACUAUGCCGACUAGGGAUCGGAUGAUGUUAAUUUUUUAAUGACUCAUUCGGCGCCUUACG